AGCAGCAGGGAGUAAGAGGGUCAGAUGAGCAUCAGCAGGCUUUCUGUAACAUUCUGAAUAUGAGCUGUAAACAAGAAGAAAAGGUCUCUAGACGACAGGUCAGUUCAGAAAGCAGAUUUUUAUUUUUAAGACCAGAAGUGAACAUGACUGCAUGAUGAGGUAAAUAUCUGCAUUAGCAGUUGCACUUCUGCUAAAUCCUUAGGCCAUGUCACGAUACGUGUUUUUAACUGUAAAUUACUGCAGCUAAAGAAAAGAGAAUUUAGAAUAGUACUAGAACUGUGUUAGUAUUUAUAAAUGCUAAUGCUGCUUCUUUAGACAACAUACAUCUGCAGGAUGCCUUUUCAUCCAGAUUCAAUUCCCUCAAGCACAUGGGAAGACUAAGUACCAUCACAGGAAGGCUGUAAGUGGCAUUCAUGGAAAUAUAAGGUGAAACACAGAGGAUCUGUUUUUUCUCCACUGGCUUUUAAGAGAGAAGAUGAUGGCAGCCUCUUCCAUCCAAAACUCAAAGCACUCUGCCCAAGGGCAUUAAGCCUCAAAUUGGAGGGCGGAGAGGGAGUGGCACACGGUUUUAAUGGAAGAAUUAAUUGGAGAAUACUGUUCCUAAACCAAGACAGCUGUAAUUGGAGUCCAGUGUGAGGCAUGAAGGGUUGAGAUUCAACAGAUCUGCCCAGAGCAGAGCAGGGAGAGGGAUCAGGAACCCUUUGUUGCUGUACUGUGGGAUAUCAGCUUAUGACAAGACAACAUCAAGGACAAUGAAAGUAAUUUGGGAUGUGUACUCAGUGUUUCUCUCCUAUCCUUACUCAGGUUUCUGUCAUGAAACAUAGAAGAAUGUAUCUGAGAACAAUUAUGUCUGGUCAAUCAACUAAAAAUAAAAAAAGGUACUUGCAUCCUGAUGAAGAUGAAAACUCCACCAACUGGGGAAGCUCCAAGUUAACCAAGAGUCUGGUCUUGGAAGUACACAUUACUGAGCACAGCCCAAAUCACACCAAGCAGUCCUGCUGCAGACAACAAGACUGCUCCCUUUGGCAGUUAUUACAGACAGUAGCAUGUGCUUCACUUCACAGCAUUCUUUCUCUACUUUUAAUUUCCUAGAUAAAAUACAGGUAAAGUGGUCACUCCAACUCUGAAGUUCUUUCUGAACAGCUAAAUAAUGCAUCCCGAUAUUUGCAUGCAUAUUGCUUCAGACUAUAGUUAAUUACAUAGUUGCAAUAUUUCAUAUAAUCAAAGAUCUUCAAGAAGAAACCUCCAAUAAGACUUACAAUAAAAUGCUAUGUCUACCAUGCAUCGUUUUGAGUGUUAAAAUAUAUGCUCUCUUAUGUGUUAAAAAUUUAGUUAUACUCGGUAU